UACGAAGGGGGCUAGCGUUGUUCGGAUUUACUGGGCGUAAAGCGCACGUAGGCGGAUUGUUAAGUCAGGGGGGAAAUCCUGGAGCUCAACUCCAGAACUGCCUUUGAUACUGGCAAUCUUGAGUCCGGAAGAGGUGAGUGGAACUCCUAGUGUAGAGGUGGAAUUCGUAGAUAUUAGGAAGAAUACCAGUGGCGAAGGCGGCUCACUGGUCCGGUACUGACGCUGAAGUGCGAAAGCGUGGGGAGCAAACAGG
rnacentral:rRNA from 1 species